rnacentral:tRNA from 1 species
GCCUUCGUGGUGUAGUGGUCAGCACGCUGGGCGCGUAUUCCAGAGGUCCGUGGUUCGAGUCCCGGCGAAAGCG